GAUGAACGCUAGCGGCAGGCUUAACACAUGCAAGUCGAGGGGUAACAGGGUGCUUGCACCGCUGACGACCGGCGCACGGGUGCGUAACGCGUAUACAAUUUACCUUAUACAGGAGAAUAGCCCCGAGAAAUUGGGAUUAAUACUCCAUGGUAUUAUAAAGUGGCAUCACUUAAUAAUUAAAGAUUUAUCGGUAUAAGAUGAGUAUGCGUCCUAUUAGUUAGUUGGUGAGGUAAUGGCUCACCAAGACAUCGAUAGGUAGGGGCCCUGAGAGGGGGAUCCCCCACACUGGUACUGAGACACGGACCAGACUCCUACGGGAGGCAGCAGUGAGGAAUAUUGGGCAAUGGAGGCAACUCUGACCCAGCCAUGCCGCGUGAAGGAAGACGGCCCUAUGGGUUGUAAACUUCUUUUAUAGAGGAAGAAACGCAGAUACGUGUAUCUGUUUGACGGUACUCUACGAAUAAGGACCGGCUAACUCCGUGCCAGCAGCCGCGGUAAUACGGAGGGUCCAAGCGUUAUCCGGAAUCAUUGGGUUUAAAGGGUCCGUAGGCGGGCAAUUAAGUCAGAGGUGAAAUCCCACAGCUCAACUGUGGAACUGCCUUUGAUACUGGUUGUCUUGAAUUAUAGUGAAGUAGAUAGAAUAUGUAGUGUAGCGGUGAAAUGCAUAGAUAUUACAUAGAAUACCGAUUGCGAAGGCAGUCUACUAACUAUAUAUUGACGCUGAUGGACGAAAGCGUGGGGAGCGAACAGGAUUAGAUACCCUGGUAGUCCACGCCGUAAACGAUGGAUACUAGUUGUUGGGUUUUCGGACUCAGUGACUAAGCGAAAGUGAUAAGUAUCCCACCUGGGGAGUACGGUCGCAAGAUUGAAACCCAAAGGAAUUUACGG
rnacentral:rRNA from 1 species